rnacentral:lncRNA from 1 species
AUAUACAUUAUAAACUUUGGAUACCAUAAAAUUAUUUAAAAAUUAAAAGUAAAUUACCAUCAGAAGUUCCAUCAUAAUAAAUGGAUACUUCUAUAGCACCCCAAUGCCUUAUUUCUAUCCUCCAGAAAUCACUGAUAGUAGUAGAAAGUAGUUUUCACUGAUCACUGAAACUAAUGAUUAUCGAUAACUUCAUCUUGUAUUCCCUAGGUAUUACACAGAUACAUCAUUUUGUAUAUGUUAAAGUACGAAACGUAUUCCAGCUACUCAGAAGACUAAGGCAGGAUGACUGCAAGUUCAAGGCCAGCCUCAGUGAAAAUACAUUAAAAGAUUUAUUUCUGGGAAAAGAUAAUCAAAUGAAACACAUGCAAGAAUUAUUCAUCAUGUGAAAUACACCACCUUAAUAGAAUGAAAGAAGAAAACUACUUGAUCAUCUCAGUUGAAAGAGCACUUAACAAAACUCAAAACUUUCUUACGAUGAUAACACUCAAUAAACUAGCAAAAGGGAACUUCCUUAACAUGAUAAAGACCAUAUAUGUGAAAAACCCACAGCAAAAGUAUUGUAAUCAAUGAUGAAAGACUGAAAACUUUCCUUCUAAGAUCAGGAGUAAGACAGGGAUGCCAGCUUCCACUGCUUUUAUUUAACAGUAUGGGAGGUUUUAGACACACAGACACACACACACACACACACACACACACAAAGCAAGAAAAGUCAUCAAGAUUAGAGAAAAGAAAAUAAAACUCCUUGUAUUAUAACGUGGUUUUAAAUUUUUUUGUGGCAAAUAACAUGACAAGCACUACAAAAUUUUAAGUGUAUGGUCUUGUUAACUGUGAGUUCAAUCUUGUACAGAUCUCCAGAACUUUUUUAUCUUGUGUGAUUGAAACUAUAUAUCCAUUGAAGAGUUAAUUCCUCAUUUUCCUUGUGCUUACUCCCUGGCAACCACCAUUAUACUUUCUGCUUGUAUGAAUUUGGCAUAUAAGUGGAAUCCCACAGAAUUUGUCCUUCUAUAACUGGCUUAUUUCAUUUAGAUUAAUAUUUUCAUGUUUUAGCACAUGACAGGAUUUCCUUCUGUGGGUGAGUAAUAUUCAUUUGUAUUUGUGUAUAUCACAUUUUUAAAACUUGUCAUGUGGGGAGGGGAUAUAGCUCAGUGGUAGAGUGCUUGCCUAGCAUGUGCAAGGCUCAGGGUUCCAACAUGAGCCUUGAGAAAAACAAAACAAAACAAAAACAUCUGUCAUCAGCCAGGCAUGGUGGUGCAUACCUGUUAUGCCAGCACUCUCAGAGGCAUAGGCAGGAGGGUCAGGAGUUUGAGCUCACUCUGGAACACUUAGCUGAGUCAGUGAGAUCUCGUUAGGGUGUGGGUGCUGGGAUAUAGUUCAGUGCAAAGGCCCUGGUUUCAAUCCCCAGUACUGCCAACAAACAAACAAAAACAAAAAACCCACAACAAUAUGUCAUCCAUCGAUGGACAUUUAGGUUUCCGUUGCUUGGCUAAUUGUGAAUAAUGCUGCAGUGAACAUGUGAGUACAAAUAUCUGUUUGAGAAGUGAUUUCAAUUCUUUUGUAAACACCCAGAAAUGAGAUUGCUGGAUUAUGUGGUAGUUUUAAUUGUUGUUGCAGCAUGUUUUAAAAAAAAACUUUUUUUUCCCCAUUAACUUUAUUGGUAAAAAAAAAAAUUUUUUUUAACAUGCAGGGAACCCUAGAGAGUCCAUAAGAAAACUGUUAGAACUAAUAAAUUCAGCUCAGUUGCAGGAUACAAAAUCAACAUAGAAAAUUCAGUUUCAUUUCGUUUUCUUUCUUUCUUUUUGUCCUUUUGAGAUAAGAUUUCACUAUGUAGUUUAGGCUAGCCUUGAACUCACUAUGUAGCCCAGGCUGCCCUUGAAUUGUGGCAGUCCUCCUGCCUCAGCCUCCUGAGUGCUGGGAUUUCAGGCAUGUGGCAUCAUGCCUAGCUUCAGUUGUAUUUCUGUUUUCUAACAAUGGACAAUUUGAAAAGAACAUUAAAACAAUUUCAUUAAAAAUGAAGUUAUUUUGGGGCUGGGGAUUUAGCUCAGUGGUUUCGCCACCUGCUGCAUAAGCUCAAGGACCCAAGUUCGAUCCCCGGUACCAAAAAAAAAAAUAUUUUGGAAUAAAUGUAAGGGAUGUAAAACUUGUACACUGCAUACUAUCAAAUACGAAAGAAAUUUAAAAAAUAAAGAAAUUAAAGAAAUAAAUGGAGAUAUAUUCCAUGCUCAUGGGUUAGAAGACAAUAUUAAGAUGACAAAAACCCAAUGUGAUCUGUGGAUUUAGCACAGUUAAUUCCUAUCAAACACUUACAUCUUGUUUUGCAGAAAUGGAAAACUCAAGCUAAAAUUCAUGUGGAAUCAUGAGAUCCAAAUAGCC